AAGAUACUACAUUGCGUAUUCUUCGAAGAGUUUUCUCAAAUGCAGUGGCUCAGAAUUGUUCCUGGUUGGGCCUACGUGAUAAUUUUUCAGUCCAAAAUUUGGCUAUAAUAAAGAUCACCAAAGAUGCAGUAAUGGUGAAUUAUAACAUGACGGACAAAGAAUUUGAAGAAACUUGCAGUGAGUGGUUCCGUCAAGGAAAACAAAGAUUUAUCAGAGAAGAGAAGGCGAAGGCCAAAGCACGAGCAUAGAGGAAGCACGAGCAAUCGCACAAGUUCAUACUGUAAAUUAACCACAGUUCAACGAAUUGGAGUCAAUCUUAUAUUUAAUUUCAAUUUAUUCUUGUUUUACAACUUACAUCUGUACUGGCUCAAGUUAAUUCAUGAUACUCACCUACAAACUGCAAUUCAUAUAGAUUUUUAAGUUCAUUUGAUAGCUUUCAUACCUUCAUAUAUCUUAAUCUUAAAUAGUUUGAAGCUAAUUUCAUACCUCGAAUGUUUACGGUGCAGUAGUUUCACAUCAAAACCACAAUUGUAUCAUGUUUACCAUGUACUUUGUGGUUUUGUAGUAAAACUCCAUACUAACAGUAUAAAUAUUGUCCCACUUUCCGGUGAUGUGAGCAACAUAUUCGACAUGGAGUUGGAUAGAAAAAUUAUAAACAAACUACACGGAAAAAUGAUAUAACGGUAGUUACCUUGCGAAGCCACUAUAUAUAGCCUAUACGUUCAUUUUGAAUUUACGUAUUUUUGAAAGGAUUCCAAUUCUUGUUUUAUCGCGAAAUAUAAUACCAUAUAAUACAGCCACAAGUUACAUUACAGGCACAUCAGUGUUGACUUGAUUCCACAUAGGUUAUCUAUGUACCUAAGUAAUUUUUUGUUUAGUUCCGUAUACGUUUCAUAACGUAAAAGUCAGAUACUGGUUGUAGUAUUACUCUUUUUAAAUGUUCAUUAUCAUAUGAUAUGUAAAGUACAAAAUACCCUGGUGGGAAUUUCUACGAAUUUCUAGGGAAAUUGGAACAGUUUUCAUUGAAAAUUAUUGUUUUUUUUUUUUUUGUAGUUUAUCAACAAAUUGUAGAUCCCGUGGUUCAUUUGAAAAAUUGUAGAUUUUUGUAGUGAUUCAGAAAACCUCGUUUUUGUCAAUCAAAUUGGAAAGAACUAUAAUUUUUUUUAUAAAAACCUAAACUUUAAUUUUCCUUGAAAUUCGGACUGAUUAAAUUUUCAGUUACGUUCUUAUGGCAAUUUUUUUAUUUACUUUUUCCUAUGGGCCGUUCGAGUCCUCAGCGCUUAUUAUAGAUUGUGAUUGAUAUCUACUAUAGUACCUAAAUAUUGUUACUUAUGUGAUACUACGGGUGAAAUUGUGAGGUUCUUAUGAUCUCCAAGAACCAUGUUAAGUAGUGUGUACUUAUUUCUCGCUGUAACACGUUGAAUUUUGAUAUUCUAUUACCUGUAUUAUAUUAAGCAAAAUACGUAUAACGGUAUUGUAUACCCGUUUCCCUAUUGUCACUUGUAUGACACUACAUCUUGAUUUUCUAGAUUCUAGUACCUUUGUUAUUUUGUUAUAUUACUCAUUUCUAGCUGGUUACUUUUAUGACACAUGGUAUUUCGAUAUUCUGGGUGGUAAUAAAUAAUCUUUUCCAUAUA